rnacentral:rRNA from 1 species
UAGGGAAUCUUCCACAAUGGACGCAAGUCUGAUGGAGCAACGCCGCGUGAGUGAAGAAGGUUUUCGGACCGUAAAGCUCUGUUGUUGGUGAAGAAGGAUAGAGGUAGUAACUGGCCUUUAUUUGACGGUAAUCAACCAGAAAGUCACGGCUAACUACGUGCCAGCAGCCGCGGUAAUACGUAGGUGGCAAGCGUUGUCCGGAUUUAUUGGGCGUAAAGCGAGCGCAGGCGGAAGAAUAAGUCUGAUGUGAAAGCCCUCGGCUUAACCGAGGAAUUGCAUCGGAAACUGUUUUCUUGAGUGCAGAAGAGGAGAGUAGAACUCCAUGUGUAGCGGUGGAAUGCGUAGAUAUAUGGAAGAAUACCAGUGGCGAAGGCGGCUCUCUGGUCUGCAACUGACGCUGAGGCUCGAAAGCAUGGGUAGCGAACAGGAUUAGAUACCCUGGUAGUCCAUGCCGUAAACGAUGAGUGCUAAGUGUUGGGAGGCUUCCGCCUCUCAGUGCUGCAGCUAACGCAUUAAGCGCUCCGCCUGGGGGAGUACGACCGCAAGGUUGAAACUCU